rnacentral:rRNA from 1 species
GACGAACGCUGGCGGCGUGCUUAACACAUGCAAGUCGAGCGGUAAGGCCCUCGGGUACGACGAGCGGCGAACGGGUGAGUAACACGUGGGUGGACCUGCCUCUAGCUCUGGGAUAAGCCUGGGAAACUAGGGUCGUAAUACCGGAUAUGACUCCACGGCGCAUGUUGUGGGGUGGAAAGCCUUGUGUGGCUAGAGAUGGGCCCGCGGCCUAUCAGCUUGUUGGUGGGGUGAUGGCCUACCAAGGCGACGACGGGUAGCCGGCCUGAGAGGGCGACCGGCCACACUGGGACUGAGACACGGCCCAGACUCCUACGGGA